GUGAGGAAUAUUGGUCAAUGGACGCAAGUCUGAACCAGCUAUGCCGCGUGCAGGAAGAAGGUUCUAUGGAUCGUAAACUGCUUUUGUACAGGAAGAAAUUAUCCCUCGUGAGGGAGCUUGACGGUACUGUAAGAAUAAGGAUCGGCUAACUCCGUGCCAGCAGCCGCGGUAAUACGGAGGAUCCAAGCGUUAUCCGGAAUCAUUGGGUUUAAAGGGUUCGUAGGCGGUUUUGUAAGUCAGUGGUGAAAGUUUGCAGCUUAACUGUAAAAUUGCCAUUGAUACUGCAAGACUUGAAUGUUUGUGAAGUAGCUAGAAUAUGUAGUGUAGCGGUGAAAUGCUUAGAUAUUACAUGGAAUACCGAUUGCGAAGGCAGGUUACUAACAAAUUAUUGACGCUGAUGGACGAAAGCGUGGGGAGCGAACAGGAUUAGAAACCCGGGUAGUCC
rnacentral:rRNA from 1 species